ACAACAACAUUUAUUUCUAUAGCACAUUUUCAUACAAAAAAAGUAGCUCAAAGUGCUUUACAUAAUGAAGAAAAGAAAAAUAAAAGACAAAAUAAGAAAUUAAAAUAAGACAACAUUAAUUAACAUAGAAAAGAAGUAAGGUCCGAUGGCCAGGGGGGACAGAAAAAACAAAAAAAAACUCCAGAUGGCUGGAGAAAAAAAUAAAAUCUGUAGGGGUUCCAGGCCACGAGACCGCCCAGUCCCCUCUGGGCAUUCUACCUAACAUAAAUGAAAUAGUCCUCUUUGUAUUUAGGGUUCUCACGGAAGGACUUGAUGAUGAUGGUCAUGCAGACUUCUGGCUUUUAAUCCAUCCAUCAUUGUUGGAACAUCAUGGUGCUUUGAGUAGAUGGUGGUGGCACAAGCCACCACCAAAAGGACACCGGAAAAGGAAACAGAA